GUAAGGUAACGGUUUACCAAGGCAAUGAUGCAUAGCCGAGUUGAGAGACUGAUCGGCCACAUUGGGACUGAGACACGGCCCAAACUCCUACGGGAGGCAGCAGUAGGGAAUCUUCCACAAUGGACGCAAGUCUGAUGGAGCAACGCCGCGUGAGUGAAGAAGGGUUUCGGCUCGUAAAGCUCUGUUGGUAGUGAAGAAAGAUAGAGGUAGUAACUGGCCUUUAUUUGACGGUAAUUACCUAGAAAGUCACGGCUAACUACGUGCCAGCAGCCGCGGUAAUACGUAGGUGGCAAGCGUUGUCCGGAUUUAUUGGGCGUAAAGCGAGUGCAGGCGGUUCAAUAAGUCUGAUGUGAAAGCCUUCGGCUCAACCGGAGAAUUGCAUCAGAAACUGUUGAACUUGAGUGCAGAAGAGGAGAGUGGAACUCCAUGUGUAGCGGUGGAAUGCGUAGAUAUAUGGAAGAACACCAGUGGCGAAGGCGGCUCUCUGGUCUGCAACUGACGCUGAGGCUCGAAAGCAUGGGUAGCGAACAGGAUUAGAUACCCUGGUAGUCCAUGCCGU
rnacentral:rRNA from 1 species